rnacentral:rRNA from 1 species
AUUGAACGCUGGCGGCAGGCCUAACACAUGCAAGUCGAACGAGUGGCGGACGGGUGAGUAAUGUCUGGGAACUGCCUGAUGGAGGGGGAUAACUACUGGAAACGGUAGCUAAUACCGCAUACUAUCGGAUAACCCAUAUGGGAUUAGCUAGUAGGUGAGGUAAUGGCUCACCUAGGCGACGAUCCCUAGCUGGUCUGAGAGGAUGAUGAGCCACAGUGGGACUGAGACACGGCCCAGACUCCUACGGAGGCAGCAGGGGGGAAUAUUGCACGAUGGGGGCAAGCCUGAUGCAUCCAUGCCGCGUGUAUGAAGAAGGCCUGCGGGUUGUAAAGUACUUUCAGCGAUGAGGCGUUACUCGCAGAAGAAGCACCGGCUAACUCCGUGCCAGCAGCCGCGGUAAUAC